rnacentral:rRNA from 1 species
GAUAAGCAUAUCAAUAAGCGGGAGGAGAGAAACUAACAAGGAUUCCCGUAGUAACGGCGAGUGAAGCGGGAAGAGCUCAAAUUUGAAAUCUGGCGGUCUCAGGCCGUCCGAGUUGUAAUCUAGAGAGGUGUUUUCCGUGCCGGACCGUGUACAAGUCCCUUGGAACAGGGCGUCAUAGAGGGUGAGAAUCCCGUCCAUGACACGGACUACCGGUGCUCUGUGAUACACCUUCAAAGAGUCGAGUUGUUUGGCAAUGCAGCUCAAAACGGGUGGUAAAUUCCAUCUAAAGCUAAAUACAGGCGAGAGACCGAUAGCGAACAAGUACCGUGAGGGAAAGAUGAAAAGAACUUUGGAAAGAGAGUUAAACAGUACGUGAAAUUGUUGAAAGGGAAACGCUUGAAGUCAGUCGCGUCUGCCAGGACUCAGCCUUGCUUCUGCUUGGUGCAUUUCUUGGUGGAUGGGCCAGCAUCGAUUUUGAUUGCCGGAAAAGGGCGGGAGGAAUGUGGCAGCUUUUGCUGUGUUAUAGCCUUCCGUCGUACACGGUGGUUGGGAUCGAGGACUGCAGCACGCCUUUGGUCGGGGUUCGCCCACGCCACGUGCUUAGGAUGCUGGCGUAAUGGCUUUAAACGACCCGUCUUGAAACGCGGACCAGGGAGUCUAACAUGCCUGCGAGUGUUUGGGUGCAAAACCCAGGCGCGUAAUGAAAGUGAAAAGUUGGGACUCUUUAGUGAGGCACCGACGCCCGACCCUGAAGUCUUCUGACGGGUUUGAGGCAGAGCAUGUAUGUUGUGACCCGAAAGAUGGUGAACUAUGCCUGAAUAGGGUGAAGCCAGAGGAAACUCUGGUGGAGGCUCGUAUCGAUUCUGACGUGCAAAUCGAUCGUCAAAUUUGGGUAUAGGGGCGAAAGACUAAUCGACCCAUCUAGUAACUGGUUCCUGCCGAAGUCCCCCCUCAGGAUA